rnacentral:lncRNA from 1 species
AUUUUUAUUUUCAAAAUAAUUAAUAAAGCUAAAUAAAAGUAAAUAAGCAAUUAUUUUGAGGUUAUCUUAUUUGAUUUUGAAUUUAUUCCUAAACUCUUUUUUAUUUAAACAUAGUAAUAGAAAUAAUAAUAAAAUAGGUUGGUACAAGGAAUUAUUGACAGCUAGCACAUUGGAUCCCUUCUAAAACUGCCAGUUGGUACCAACGGAUCUCUCACUAAAAGACAAAAUGAAAAUGAAAAGAAAUAAAUAAUCCUCACCUAUUACUCACUCACAGGCGCCCGCUUCUCUCUCUCCUCAACCACUACAUGUUAC